rnacentral:rRNA from 1 species
GACGAACCGUGCAAACGUUGUUCGGAAUCACUGGGCUUAAAGGGCGCGUAGGCGGGUGAUCAAGUCCGGGGUGAAAUCUUUCGGCUCAACCGGAAAAUAGCCUUGGAUACUGGUCGUCUUGAGGGAGGUAGGGGCAUGCGGAACUUCCGGUGGAGCGGUGAAAUGCGUUGAUAUCGGAAGGAACGCCGGUGGCGAAAGCGGCGUGCUGGAUCUCUUCUGACGCUGAUGCGCGAAAGCUAGGGGAGCAAACGGG